rnacentral:rRNA from 1 species
UUCCCUUUCAUUAUUUUUGAUCCAAGAACAUGGGAAGUUCUUGACAAUAGCAAAAGGAAUAUUUUAAUUGAGAAGGGACCUAUUAGAGUACCGGAUCUGGAGUUCGAGAAGGACACCAUUGGUAGACACUUUUCAUAUGCUUUUUACUCCAGAAAGUUAAGUAAUUUCGUUCUUAUUUGA